rnacentral:lncRNA from 1 species
AGUCUUCUGCUAGCAGCCUUCAGGUGAAGAUGGCGAACUCUCAGCUCCUGCUGCACCAUGCCUGCCUGGAUGCUGCCAUGUUCCCGCCUUAAUGAUAAUGGACUGAACCUCUGAACCUGAAGCCAUCAUCCAUGCUGGUUAAAGACUUUGCAGUGCAGCGGCAUUUGGGUCAUCCACUUCCUGUCAGUGACCCCCCUCCCAUGGAGGCAGAAGCAGGAGGCUCUCAGAGUUCGAGGCUAGCAUGGUCUACGCGUAACAAGUUCCAGGCCAGCCAGGGCUACCGAAUAGAGAUCCUGUCUCAAAACCACAACAGCAAAGUGAGUACGGACUGAUCUAGGCAAGCGGAUACCCAGUGCCCUCAGGCCGUGAGCCGUGUUCAGCAGGUACCCGUUGCCUCCGAGAAAACGUGGGCGUGAAUGAAGAAGAGGUGGGCGUGGUGGAUCUGGAAGGAGGAUUCUCAGGACGUGUGUUGGCUGAGUGCAUGGGUCCAAGCCCCCGUAUGUUCUGUGCUGGGCGGAACAGUCUGAGCUUUAAGACCCACAGGGUAUGUGGGUCAUACAACCCCUAGCUGCCCUAGACUUUGGGGGAUGUAUCUCUCAUGUACCCUGUCAUGUGCCCUGUCAUGUGCCCUGUCUCAUGCCCUAGACUUUGGGGGAUGUAUCUCUCAUGUGCCCUGUCAGGAAACCUCUUGGUCUCAGGCUCCUGUGAGUCACGUGAUCCAUGGACCAUGAGUGGACUGGAGGACGAAGACUGGUUAUUUCAAGCUCAUUGGACCCAGCCUGGGGAAGAGUAGGAGGUAGGGUCUAGAAUGGGCAGUGUGCAGGCUAAGCAGUGGAGUCUGGACCCUGUGGGUCCUGCCAGGUAUCUGCAGGCAGACCGUGGACUUGUGUAUCUACAGAGAUAACAGCUGCCCCCCUCGAUCUGUCCCCUGUCAUACUAUUAACCUUUAUCAUUCAAGGUCAUAUUCGUCCUUCUAUGUCCUACCGAGGAGCUUUUGAAAGGCAAGUUCCAUCUUGGCAUGUCUGGCACACAGUAGGUUCUUAAUAAACAUGUCUAUCAAAUGG